AACCGACACAGGUGGUCAGGUAGAGAAUACCAAGGCGCUUGAGAGAACUCGGGUGAAGGAACUAGGCAAAAUGGUGCCGUAACUUCGGGAGAAGGCACGCUGACAUGUAGGUGAAGUGAUUUACUCACGGAGCUGAAGUCAGUCGAAGAUACCAGCUGGCUGCAACUGUUUAUUAAAAACACAGCACUGUGCAAACACGAAAGUGGACGUAUACGGUGUUACGCCUGCCCGGU
rnacentral:rRNA from 1 species